CCUACGGGUCGCACCAGUGGGGAAUAUUGCACAAUGGGCGCAAGCCUGAUGCAGCCAUGCCGCGUGUAUGAAGAAGGCCUUCGAGUUGUAAAGUACUUUCAGCGAGGAGGAAGGCGUUAAGGUUAAUAACCUUGGCGAUUGACGUUACUCGCAGAAGAAGCACCGGCUAACUCCGUGCCAGCAGCCGCGGUAAUACGGAGGGUGCAAGCGUUAAUCGGAAUUACUGGGCGUAAAGCGCACGCAGGCGUCUGUCAAGUCGGAUGUGAAAUCCCCGGGCCCAACCAGGGAACUGCAUUCGGAACUGGCAGGCUAGAGUCUUGUAGAGGGGGGUAGAAUUCCAGGUGUAGCGGUGAAAUGCGUAGAGAUCUGGAGGAAUACCGGUGGCGAAGGCGGCCCCCUGGACAAAGACUGACGCUCAGGUGCGAAAGCGUGGGGAGCAAACAGGAUUAGAUACCCCAGUAGUC
rnacentral:rRNA from 1 species